rnacentral:rRNA from 1 species
UACGUAGGGGGCAAGCGUUGUCCGGAUUUAUUGGGCGUAAAGAGCGUGUAGGCGGCUUGGUAGGUCCGCUGUGAAAACUCGAGGCUCAACCUCGAGAUGUCGGCGGAAACCACUUGGCUAGAGUCCGGAAGAGGAGAGUGGAAUUCCUGGUGUAGCGGUGAAAUGCGUAGAUAUCGAGAGGAACACCGGUGGCGAAGGCGGCCAACUGGACGAAUACUGACGCUGAGACUCGAAAGCGUGGGGAGCAAACAGG